UACGUAGGGUGCGAGCGUUGUCCGGAAUUAUUGGGCGUAAAGAGCUCGUAGGCGGCCUGUUGCGUCUGCUGUGAAAGCCCGGGGCUUAACCCCGGGUCUGCAGUGGAUACGGGCAGGCUAGAGUUCGGCAGGGGAGACUGGAAUUCCUGGUGUAGCGGUGAAAUGCGCAGAUAUCAGGAGGAACACCGGUGGCGAAGGCGGGUCUCUGGGCAGUAACUGACGCUGAGGAGCGAAAGCGUGGGGAGCGAACAGG
rnacentral:rRNA from 1 species